GCGGCCUAUCAGCUUGUUGGUGGGGUGAUGGCCUACCAAGGCGACGACGGGUAGCCGGCCUGAGAGGGUGACCGGCCACACUGGGACUGAGAUACGGCCCAGACUCCUACGGGAGGCAGCAGUGGGGAAUAUUGCACAAUGGGCGCAAGCCUAAUGCAGCGACGCCGCGUGAGGGAUGACGGCCUUCGGGUUGUAAACCUCUUUCGCCAGGGACGAAGCGCAAGUGACGGUACCUGGAGAAGAAGGACCGGCCAACUACGUGCCAGCAGCCGCGGUAAUACGUAGGGUCCGAGCGUUGUCCGGAAUUACUGGGCGUAAAGAGCUCGUAGGUGGUUUGUCGCGUUGUUCGUGAAAACUCACAGCUUAACUGUGGGCGUGCGGGCGAUACGGGCAGACUGGAGUACUGCAGGGGAGACUGGAAUUCCU
rnacentral:rRNA from 1 species